AUUCGCAAUUCUCUCUAGACAAGCUCAGGUGUGCUGCAUCUUUUGUGCUGAAUUCGCAAUUCUCUCUAGACAAGCUCAGGUGUGCUGCAUCUUUUGUACUAAUUGUAGCCUUGCCAUUUUUUUCUCUCCUGAACAGACACUGGUGUGCUUGACUGAUGACUGAGUAUGUUUCUCUGUACAGGUAACUGCAGGUGGGGGUUAGGGGGCUCUGGGUAGUGUUGGCUUAGCAGCUGCACUCUAUACCAUUAGAGUGGCUAAGCACACAGUUCCUCUUGCUACACUCUAAAUCAUAGGGUGACUAGCUUACUGGUUCCACCCAUCCCCUAAAGCCUCUCACGUCUGGCUCCACGUGCCAACCCCUGGACAACGGCUUCAGCUGGCCGACCAAACGACGUGAGGGGGCGGUGUUGACACAGCACUGUCAGGUAGAUUUUCAGUGGUGAGGUCUGUCUGGACUACCAACAGAAAGGCAAUCAAUCAUGGCCAACCUGGAGAGGGCAUGGACAGCAGCAGUCCAUACUGAUAUGCUUUGUGACGAAAGCUGAGACACUUCUCCUACAAGUAAAGAAUUGAGCCUGAGCGGGAACGUUACGCUAGCAGCAGUUCAUAACAUAUCGAGACCUCCAGGGGAUGACGGUCUAUCAAGUCCAGUCAGGGGAUGAUGCCUGCUGUCCCAUAGUUUCACUUUUAGCAUAGCAUGAAAUUAAAGCUUCAAGUCAUGAUGUAAUAGACAGGAAAAUAACAGACAGUUCUGUAUUUGGUCAGUCAGGUAACACCAACAAAGUGUUUUAUGAGCGGAGUACAGCAGAGCACUCUGGUGGGGCAGGCAUAGAGUGAAGUAAAGCAAUUUGGUUAGGAACUGCUCAUUUUUUUGAGUUUUGAUUUACUUAUAAGAAGGCAAACCCAAUAACUCAGGAUCUAGAGUUAGCUUUUGGACUAGAGUAGACACUUGUGAUAUUUUUUUUACAUUGUUUGAAUUUCUCAUGUUACCUGCAAUUAGUCCAUGGGCAAGAAUUUACAGUAAACUCAUUACUUUGGCAUGAUAAGAAGAUAAAAUAACUGGUUUUACAAAAUAUGCUGAAGAUAAAUGCAAAUUGCAGAACACAGAUGUACAAGGAAUAAGAUCAAUAUUGGUCAUAUAAAAGGAUAUGUUAAGUAUUUUAAUAAAGAAUCUCAUCCUCUACCACAA